UCCGUGGUAGCUCAGCGGUAGAGCAAACGACUGUUAAUCGUUAGGUCACAGGUUCGAAUCCUGUCCACGGAGCAA
rnacentral:tRNA from 1 species